GACGAACGCUGGCGGCGUGCUUAACACAUGCAAGUCGAACGGAAAGGCCCUGCUUUUGUGGGGUGCUCGAGUGGCGAACGGGUGAGUAACACGUGAGUAACCUGCCCUUGACUUUGGGAUAACUUCAGGAAACUGGGGCUAAUACCGGAUAGGAGCUCCUGCUGCAUGGUGGGGGUUGGAAAGUUUCGGCGGUUGGGGAUGGACUCGCGGCUUAUCAGCUUGUUGGUGGGGUAGUGGCUUACCAAGGCUUUGACGGGUAGCCGGCCUGAGAGGGUGACCGGCCACAGUGGGACUGAGAUACGGCCCAGACUCCUACGGGAGGCAGAAGUGGGGAAUAUUGCACAAUGGGCGGAAGCCUGAUGCAGCAACGCCGCGUGCGGGAUGACGGCCUUCGGGUUGUAAACCGCUUUCGCCUGUGACGAAGCGUGAGUGACGGUAAUGGGUAAAGAAGCACCGGCUAACUACGUG
rnacentral:rRNA from 1 species